ensembl:lncRNA
UCCCCAACAUUCAUGGAUUUACUGCAGCUUGUUUAUCCAUCUCAGAGCUGGGGGACAUUUGUUUCCGUGUGUGUGUGUGUGUGUGUGUGUGUGUGACUUAAACAAAGCUGUUAUCAACUUCCUGUGCAGAUUUCUGCAUAAUCGUGGGUUUUCAUGUCACUUGGGUCAAUACGGAAGACAGAAUGGCUGUGCUGCAGGGGAGGUGUGUGUUUACCUAAGAAGCCGUGCGAGUGUGUUACCCCAGUGGCUAAGACCUUUUCACAUCCCACCGGCCAGCAGGGCAGUUCGUGCCCCACACGCUGCGUACUCCGUAGUCAGGCUCUCCAACUCAGCCAUGCUAAUAGGUGCACAGUGGUAGCUCAUCCUGUUUUAAUUUGCAUUUCCUUACAUGCUAGGGGAUAAUUUACUAUGCUUAUGUGCCAUCCAUAUAUCUUCUUUGAUGCUGGAAUCUUUUCAAAUAUUUUCCUUUAUUUUUUAUUUAUAUAUUUAUUUAUUUUUGAUGUACCAGGGAUCGAACUCAGGACCUUGUGCUUGGAAGGCAGAAGGUGGCACCAUGAGCUAAAUCUCCUGCCCUGUUUUCGGUUUUUUGAGGCAGGGUCUCCCUUUGUAGUUCAGGCUGGCCCUGAACUCACUAGGUAGCCCAGGCGGGCCUCAAACCUGUGGCGAUCCUCCUGCCUCAGCCUCCCACAUGCUGGUAUCACAGGCAUGCUCUACCUUGCCCUUGCCCAUUUUCCUGUACAAAUUUAACUAUUAAGUUCAAAGAGCCCUUUCCAUAUCCUGAACACAAAUCCUUUAUCAGAUACAGUAAAUCCUUGGUUUGUGAGCAUAAAUCAUUCCAGAAAUAUGCUUGUAAUCCAAAGCAUUGAUGUAUCAAAGCAAAUUUCCCCAGAAGAAAUAACGGAAACUCAGAUGAUUCAUUCCACAAUCCAAAAAUAUGCAUAUAAAGACGAUUACAAUGCUGUAAUGUAAUACAAAAUAAUAAAGAAAAAAAAAGAAAAAUAAACAAAUUAAUCUGUACUUACCUUUGAAAACCUUCAUGCCUAUCCCAGAGAGAGAGAGAGAGAAAGAGGUGCAGAUGGGUAGGUACAGAUGAUUUGAUAGAGAUAUAGUAUAGAGAGCUAGGUGUACAGAUGACACAGAGAGGUAGGGAGGGAGAUGGGCUCAGUUGUGAUCACAUUACAGAUAUCGCUCAAGACAUCACCUGUUUAUCAAGUUAAAACUUACUGGAAAUGUUUACUCAUCCAGUGGGACACUCGUGGAGCAAGUUACCUGCAAUCCAAGGUUUCACUGCCUAAGAGGACACCGGGGGCCUGGCAGGCAACAGGGCCCUGGCCAUCAGCUCCAACAGGGCGCCCCGCUCAUGCACAGACCAGCUACAGUGCCCCAGAGAGAACCCCCGGGGUGGGCAGGACCGGGCGCUCCCAGACAGGCACUCACACAGUGCGCUAUCUCAGCCCAAGCCCCCUUCCCUGAACCUCAGAGCCUGAACUCCUCGGAAAGGUGUCUUCCACGGUUCGGCACUAAGGGGAAACAGCCACGUUGCCCCUUAAGAUCAGUGAAACUGCUCACACUCUUCAAACCAGAACUUCAGAGCGCUCACUCUGCCAGACCCGAGCUGCCCUCCGACGACAGAUAUUAAAACAGUAGAGGCAAAGCCCUUCGGAGCACACAGAGACAGAGAGGUGACGCGCGGUCCGGCCUUCGGGAUGAACUUCCAGGGUGAGAAGCAGCCACGGAGCCUGAGACCCCAGGGGGUGCGCUGAAUGGGCUGCGCUGCAGAAAGGAGGAGGGAAUCCCUCUUCAUCCGUCAGAGGCCAGAGACCUGCAUCAGCCACUCUCUACACACUAAAAUGCCACACUUCUCCGACACGUGGAUACAACCUAGGACGCCCCAGGGUGGCCACGCAGCCCUGGGAGGAGGAGAGCCCUUGGGACACUUGGGCAGGAAGGAUGAGCCCCCAUCACGUUCAGCGGGGAGAGACAUAGGGGCCCUGUGGUUAGUUAGCAAGCUUCAAGGAAAGAUAUUUGAACGCAGAUACUGGAAACAGAACUCCGAAGAGGCCGCAGUAUUUGUUUAGUGAAAUGUUAGGGAUGCGUGAGAGCCUCUGAGUGCUUGUUGGUUCAGAGCUCAGGGCUGAGAGUACGAGGCCGCAUCUGGAUGACGGAAGCUGCCUUCUCCCAAAACAGGGUCGCGGAGGACGAGUCCCGGUGCCUCCCGCUGGCAGGAUGAGGACUCAGAGCAAAGCCGCAGGCCAGGACAGCGUGCAGGUGCGCAGCUGCUGGGCAGGAGGCCUUCUCCAGGCCUUCUCCUGCCAGCGCUGAAGUCCUGGAGCUCAGGGAGAAGCUGCAGCAAGGCCCCUCUCCUCUGGCCCCAGGGUCCCCACCUGUGGACUCCGAGUCGGUCCUGCUCUUCCCAUUUGCAGAGGCAGAGCCUGAGUGAGCUGACAGCCAGGAGUGGGAAAGGCGGAGAGUCGGGGAGUGCAGUUGGGCUCCCUGGUGUCAGCACUGGGGUGACUCAGCCUGGCCCGCCAGGGGUGGCCGCCUGCAAUCCAGUCCGGCUCGCUGCCCUUCCCUCCGGCCAUGUGGUGCUGUUCGGGCAUUGCCUGAGUCACCCCUUAAUAAGAGCCGUUGCCUGGAGCACAGAGCCGUGUGCCUGGCUUUGCACCCUGGAAGCAAACCUGUCUGGAAGUUGGCAUGCCCAUGUGGAAAUAUGGACAGCAACUUUCCUGUGCCCGCCUCUUCCGAAGACCACAGGCGUCACCUUGCGGGGCCUCUGCUUCCAGGAAAGGGGUCGCUCACACACUCCAACCUGGGUGCCCUCCCCCCUGGCCCGCGUGCCCCUCCUCUGCACCCAGAGCUCGCCCUUCUCCCACUCAGACCAAACCCUCCCCACCAGGAGCCAGCGCUGGGCUUGUCCCACUCCCUUCCUGCUAAGAAACCUCCAAGAAUCCCCAUCAGCCCCAGAAACCAUCAGCCUGUCCUGAAUUAGGCACAGUGUAACUGGCCUGCGGUGAAUUUCCCUCUCAUCUUCAGACUUUCCAGAACAUUCACACUCAGGUGGCGCUAGCAGAGUAACAGGCGCCAGGUGAACCUGAUGUGGCUUUCCUUGUCUGAGAUCAGGCUGCGCUAUAAGCACCCUUGGAUUAUCUCAGGGGCAUUAGAGUUUAUGAACAGAGCACUUUCCUGCUCCUGUUGGCUUUUCGCCUGCCCUUUCAGGCCUACAGUUUUUAUGGGGCAGAUUGCAGGGUGUGUGGCCGCCGAGAGGCAAUUCCCCUUUCCCUCACUGCCUGACCAUCCUUAAGUCCUUACCGGGAGGGUUGGGGCCUCUCCCUAUGGGGCCAGAGUCCAGGGAUGGCGACCACCUACAGAGCUUUCCAUGCC